GAUGAACGCUGGCGGCGUGCCUAAUACAUGCAAGUCGAGCGAAUGGAUUAAGAGCUUGCUCUUAUGAAGUUAGCGGCGGACGGGUGAGUAACACGUGGGUAACCUGCCCAUAAGACUGGGAUAACUCCGGGAAACCGGGGCUAAUACCGGAUAAUAUUUUGAACUGCAUGGUUCAAAAUUGAAAGGCGGCUUCGGCUGUCACUUAUGGAUGGACCCGCGUCGCAUUAGCUAGUUGGUGAGGUAACGGCUCACCAAGGCAACGAUGCGUAGCCGACCUGAGAGGGUGAUCGGCCACACUGGGACUGAGACACGGCCCAGACCCCUACGGGAGGCAGCAGUAGGGAAUCUUCCGCAAUGGACGAAAGUCUGACGGAGCAACGCCGCGUGAGUGAUGAAGGCUUUCGGGUCGUAAAACUCUGUUGUUAGGGAAGAACAAGUGCUAGUUGAAUAAGCUGGCACCUUGACGGUACCUAACCAGGAAGCCCCGGCUAACUUCGUGCCAGCCGCCGCAGUAA
rnacentral:rRNA from 1 species